GAUGAACGCUGGCGGCGUGCCUAAUACAUGCCAGUCGAGCGAACGGACGAGGAGCUUGCUUUUCUGAUGUUAGCGGCGGACGGGUGAGUAACCCGUGGAUAACCUACCUAUAGGACUGGGAUAACUUCGGGAAACCGGAGCUAAUACCGGAUAAUAGUGUGAACCCCAUGGUUCAAAAGUGAAAGCCGGUUUUGCUUUGACUUAUAGAUGGAUCCGCGCUGCAUUAGCUAGUUGGUAAGGUAACGGCUUACCAAGGCAACGAUGCAUAGCCGAGCUGAGAGGGUGAUCAGCCACACUGGAACUGAGACACGGCCCAGACUCCUACGGGAGGCAGCAGUAGGGAAUUUUCCACAAUGGGAGAAAGCCUGACGGAGCAACGCCGCGUGAGUGAUGAAGGUCUUCGGAUCGUAAAACUCUGUUAUUAGGGAAGAACAUAUGUGUAAGUAACUAUGCACAUCUUGACGGUACCUAAUCAGAAAGCCACGGCUAACUACGUG
rnacentral:rRNA from 1 species